AGAGUGAACGCUGGCGGCGUGCUUAACACAUGCAAGUCGAACGAGAACGGAUUUAAGCUUGCUUAAAUUGUCAGCUAAGUGGCGCACGGGUGAGUAAUAUAUAGUUAACCUGCCCUAGAGAGGGGGAUAACGUUUGGAAACGAACGCUAAUACCCUAUAUGCCUUUAAUACAUAAGUAUGCAAGGGAAAUAUUUAUAGCUCUAGGAUGGGACUGUACGGUAUCAGUUAGUUGGUGAGGUAAUGGCUCACCAAGACUAUGACACCUAACUGGUUUGAGAGGAUGAUCAGUCACACUGGAACUGAGACACGGUCCAGACUCCUACGGGAGGCAGCAGUGGGGAAUAUUGCACAAUGGACGAAAGUCUGAUGCAGCAACGCCGCGUGGAGGAUGACACAUUUCGGUGCGUAAACUCCUUUUAUAUAGGAAGAUAAUGACGGUACUAUAUGAAUAAGCACCGGCUAACUCCGUGCCAGCAGCCGCGGUAAUACGGAGGGUGCAAGCGUUACUCGGAAUCACUGGGCGUAAAGAGCGUGUAGGCGGGUUAAUAAGUUGGAAGUGAAAUCCUAUGGCUCAACCAUAGAACUGCUUUCAAAACUGUUAACCUAGAGUAUGGGAGAGGUAGAUGGAAUUUCUGGUGUAGGGGUAAAAUCCGUAGAGAUCAGAAGGAAUACCGAUUGCGAAGGCGAUCUACUGGAACAUAACUGACGCUGAGACGCGAAAGCGUGGGGAGCAAACAGGAUUAGAUACCCUGGUAGUCCACGCCCUAAACGAUGCACACUAGUUGUUGCUAUGCUAGACAUAGCAGUAAUGCAGUUAACACAUUAAGUGUGCCGCCUGGGGAGUACGGUCGCAAGAUUA
rnacentral:rRNA from 1 species